GCUGGGCGUGGUGGUGGGCGCCUGUAAUCCCAGCUACUCGGGAGGCUGAGGCAGGGGAAUCGCUUGAACCCAGGAGGCGGAGGUUGCAGUGAGCUGAGAUUGUGCCACUGCACUCCAGCCUGGGCGACAGAGCGAGACUCUGUCUUUU
rfam:Homo sapiens chromosome 5 genomic contig, GRCh38 reference assembly alternate locus group ALT_REF_LOCI_1.